rnacentral:rRNA from 1 species
GUGUGGAAUUUUGGACAAUGGGCGCAAGCCUGAUCCAGCCAUUCCGCGUGCAGGAUGAAGGCCUUCGGGUUGUAAACUGCUUUUGUACGGAACGAAAAGCCUCUGGUUAAUACCCGGGGGUCAUGACGGUACCGUAAGAAUAAGCACCGGCUAACUACGUGCCAGCAGCCGCGGUAAUACGUAGGGUGCGAGCGUUAAUCGGAAUUACUGGGCGUAAAGCGUGCGCAGGCGGUGAUGUAAGACAGUUGUGAAAUCCCCGGGCUCAACCUGGGAACUGCAUCUGUGACUGCAUUGCUGGAGUGCGGCAGAGGGGGAUGGAAUUCCGCGUGUAGCAGUGAAAUGCGUAGAUAUGCGGAGGAACACCGAUGGCGAAGGCAAUCCCCUGGGCCUGCACUGACGCUCAUGCACGAAAGCGUGGGGAGCAAACAGGAUUAGAUACCCCGGUAGUCC